CAUUGUGGUUUUAAUUUCGAUGAGUACGACGAGGAACCUUACCUGGGCUCAAAUGUAUGUUGACGUUAUUCUGAAAGGGAUACUUCUUCGGACAAUAUACAAGGUGCUGCAUGGUUGUCGUCAGCUCGUGCCGUGAGGUGUCGGGUUAAGUCCCAUAACGAGCGCAACCCCUACUGCUAGUUGCCAGCGGGUCAUGCCGGGGACUCUAGCGGAACUGCCAGCGUAAGCUGCGAGGAAGGUGGGGAUGACGUCAAAUCAGCACGGCCCUUACGUCCAGGGCUACACACGUGUUACAAUGGCCGGUACAGAGGGCAGCCACCCCGCGAGGGGGCGCGAAUCCCGAAAGCCGGUCCCAGUUCGGAUCGGAGUCUGCAACCCGACUCCGUGAAGCUGGAUUCGCUAGUAAUCGCGCAUCAGCCACGGCGCGGUGAAUACGUUCCCGGGCCUU
rnacentral:rRNA from 1 species